rnacentral:rRNA from 1 species
UACGUAGGGGUGCGAGCGUUUGUCCGGAAUUACUGGGCGUAAAGAGCUCGGUAGGUGGUUUGUCGCGUUUGUCCGUGAAAACUCACAACUCAAUUGUGGGCGUGCGGGCGAAUACGGGCAGACUGGAGUACUGCAGGGGAGACUGGAAUUCCUGGUGUAGCGGUGGAAUGCGCAGAUAUCAGGAGGAACACCGGUGGCGAAGGCGGGUCUCUGGGCAGUAACUGACGCUGAGGAGCGAAAGCGUGGGGAGCAACAGG